rnacentral:misc_RNA from 1 species
AAGUCGUAACAAGGUUUCCGCAGGUGAACCUGCGGAAGGAUCAUUAGUGAAUUGUGAAGGCUGUUGCUGGCCAUAAUGGCAUGUGCACGCCUUUUGCUUUCUUUCCACCUGUGCACUCUUUGUAGGCGCGAGUCUAUGAUUUUACAAACACAAUGUAUGAUAUGUUGGCUGGCUCUAAUACAAUACAA